ensembl:lncRNA
CUCUGUAACCUCAGGUGGUCUCAGGACGCCCGUCAGAGCACACAGAGGGAUUAGAGGUUGAGGUAAAUAUCUUUGCAAAUGAAUAGUUGUGUGCAUGAAAAGGGUUUUACUGAGAGAGAGAGUGAGAGAGAGAGAGAGAGUGACAGAAGGCCGUUUGUGUGAAGGAGAGGGGAAAAGCAAGCUGAGCAAACACAGGUGUGUUCGUAUGCUACACAGAAUACUGUAACCAAACAUGAAGGUCAGAGCCCUGCAUCAUUCCAUCAAAAGACUUCACAGGCAUUCUUACAGAGCUGCACCGGAGUCCAAUGGCAUACAGAGGAAGUCGGGCAAAGGCAAACACCUGAACCUUUUACAGCAACGUCGACUGUUCUUGUUCCAUCACCUUCCGCUCUCGGUCUCCUUUUCAUCAGCAAGGCCAUCGGUUAGAACGUCUAAAUGGAACAGGCGCAGCUCAGAGUUAGACCACAGCCGACAAAGAGCUUCAGGGUGUGCUCUGUUUGAGAAGUCAUGUCUAAGCUGUACUACAGUAGUGUUUUUUGUUUUGGUUUUUUUUCCGUGCCUAACCAGACUGGAUUAGCGUUUUCACAUGUCUGCAUGUGUCUAACGUCAUUCAUCACAAUGGCAAAGCUGAUCCCAGGUUACAGCUGUGGAAAGCUGUGAACAAAAAAGGCUGCAGCUUUAAUACUGACAAUAACAAUUCUGGCAGCCGUAUCAAUUAUUACACCAUGUGACGCAUACUGUAUAUUCAGAGAUUACGCUUUAGAUCACACUAACUGCCUAAAUUUAAAACGCUCAACAACUCGACAACCAUUGCAUAUUCAUUAUAAGCCAUCUUAGAUAUGUCACACGCCAGCUGGGAUACGUCAUACGGCAUCUCAGAUAGGUCACACACCAUCUCAGACACGUCACACGGCAUCUCAGAUAGGUCACACGCCAUCUCAGACACGUCACACGCCAUCUCAGUUAGGUCACACGCCAUCUCAGAUAGGUCACACGCCAUCUCAGAUAGGUCACACG